CAGUAGCCGCGGGAAUACGUAGGGUGCAAGCGUUAAUCGGAAUUACUGGGCGUAAAGCGUGCGCAGGCGGUUAUAUAAGACAGAUGUGAAAUCCCCGGGCUCAACCUGGGAACUGCAUUUGUGACUGUAUAGCUAGAGUACGGCAGAGGGGGAUGGAAUUCCGCGUGUAGCAGUGAAAUGCGUAGAUAUGCGGAGGAACACCAAUGGCGAAGGCAAUCCCCUGGGCCUGUACUGACGCUCAUGCACGAAAGCGUGGGGAGCAAACAGGAUUAGAUACCCCCGUAGUCCCUGUCUCUUAUAC
rnacentral:rRNA from 1 species